rnacentral:tRNA from 1 species
UCUCUGGUGGUCCAGUGGUUAAGAUUCUGCACUGCCAAUGCAUGGGUUACAGGUUCGAUCCCUGGUCAGGGAA